UGUUACUAAAAGCAACUUUUUGUGUGUGAAAUGUUGUUACACACAACAACUAUCAUGUGAGAUUAUCUAAAAAUUAGAAAGGCACAUCAUUUUAUGCCAUUAUAGUUGUGAUGUUUUGGGCUAUGUGUAAUUGUUAUGCUUAAAAUUCUAUGGAUUUCUAAAUGGUUGCCAUCAAAACGUUAAGUAAUAAAUGCAAACAAUACAUUACAUAUAUAUUAGAGGCCCACCAAAUAGCAGCAGUUAUCAGUAGAUUCAAUAUUAAUGAACAGAUAAUAAAAUAUGAUGUAUUUCUGUAGCUCAGCUGGAUGGACAUCAAGGUCAUUGGUUAAUUUUCAAGAGAGCACACCUACUGAUAAAAUGUGAAGCUAGAGAGCAAUGUACUGUAAGUCAUUUAGGAUACAAUCAUCUGCCAAAUGCAUAAAAGUAGACCGUUUUCAAAAGUUAAAAUUGAUUAAAAAUAUAAACCAAACCAAUUAUCUAUCUCUUAAAUUAUAGAUACAUUUUAGCAAAUAAUAAAAUCUGUGUUGGACUUUAGAGUGAUUACAAUGGAUGUGAAUGGGGCCAAUUUUGGAGGGUUUAAAGGCAGAAAUGUAAAGCUUAUAAUUUUAUAGAAGCACUAACAUUAGUUUUUCUGUUAAAACUUGUUUAUUAUUUGAGCUAUAAAGUUCAAGGGUUUACUGCGUUACAUUGUCAUGGCAACAAAGUUGUAAAAUUGGAUAUAACUUUACACAGAAAAGGUCGAUUUUAUCACACAAAAUUUAUGUUAACACACAUAUUGUUUAUGUCUUGUGGCUAUACUUUUAAGUAUAGAGUCUCAGUUGAAACCACAAUUUUUACAGUUUUUUAUUUAAUUUUUUUUUAAGAAAAGGAAGGACAAGUCGAAAUAAUUUUUUGUGGUAAAUUAACAUUGUGCCACAAAUGCUGUCGAUUGUGCUUAUUUUGUAUUGAACCUGGAAUAUUACUUUUUUUUUAAGUGGCCUCGGUUUGCAUUUAAAAUGUAUGAUUAGUGUACUUUAAUGGUUCAGCUUUCCAAAAGUGUGUGGACAGUACAUUUAAGUUAUGAGUCCCGGGCAACUGAACGCUGGUGUACAUUCCAAGUCCCUUCCUGUGUUGGCCUAAACCAAUAUUUACUUUAAGCCAAAGACUGCUCUGCUCGCAGUAUAAAGAAACCUUAGUGAUGCUUAGAGACUACCACUGCCAUAGAAAAAACACACACAAACACACCUCAGCAGCAUGCAUAAGAGUUUAUCCUUGACAGAGGAUGAAUUUAAAGCUGUUUUGCUUUCCUCUCAACUGCAAUAGUUUCCCCAUCACAGAGACAAAUCAAAGUUCUUUGAAACGUCACAUUCAGUCUCCCGAGGAGAUUCUUGAAUCUGUGUAAACAUGUUAUAGUCUAUCAAGCUGUAUGUAUUCAUUGUUGCAAGAUUGUGUUUGCUUGAAAAUGAUUAGUUUACAGUGAUAGAAUUAUGACCAGUGUGCUCAUUUUAUGUGAGGUUUUUACAGCUGUUCCUGUAGCCUAACUAGUAGAGCAUUAACAGAAUCAAGGUUUGAUUCACAGGGAAUGCACGUACUGAAUAAAUGUGAAGCGUAAGUUUUUUUUUUUUCAUGUUGGCUUAAUCUAUUGACCUUGUUGGACUUGAGUAUUUACAGUCAUCAAAUCAUGCUUUAGUUUGGGCAGGUACUUGCAUGCAGUCUGAAAUAAUGCUAUGUUGUUGUAUCCAACAUAGCUGAAGCUGAAAGUUUAUCAUGAGCUGACUGUCUCCUCCCCGCAUCGAGGAAACUGCACAACAGCAGUACCUACUUAAUCAAUCUGACACAAGCACAGAGACGACACAGACGGUGCGUAGACCUGCGCCAAUUCUGGUGAGGCAGUACCAAGACAAAGUUGAACCAGAUGGCUGAGAGUCCGGGCUGCUCGCCCACAGGUCCACCCUGGCACCCCUUCCCUCUCCACCCCUCAAUGAUUGCAGCUUCUCCUGCUCUCCCGCAGGGCCCCCACAUACCUGCGAUAUGCUCAGUAGGGCAUAUUCAGAGGAGCGUUCCAGAUUGAAAUGGCAUGAAUGGAGCUUGCGGCUUCCUUUUUGGAGGUUUCCCUCAGCAGAGAAGGCUUUCAAAUGACACAUUUUACGAGGACAACGUGGCAGGUGGAGAAAUGUUUCUACACACAGAAGGGAGAGGAAGUGAUGUCAGAGUGAUGUCAGUGAGGCUGCCGUCUGUCAAUCAGGAUCAUGUGUCUUCCAGUGUCAGGUCUGUUGAAGGAGAUACAGACUCUUCAGCUAAGGAUGUGUUUUAAAUCGAUGGUCCCUCUUCGCCUGGAAACUGCAAAGUGCCUGAGAAGACGGAAAUAUUCUUGGCCUUAAAUUAUUUAUUUACAUUAUAGAUGCUUAAUAUUGAGUAACAGUGAUUACAAGAGAUAUAAUGAACUUCUUUUUCUUGAUCUCUUGUAUGACUGUUACAGAACUAAGCAUAGAAAUAUAUCUAUUUAUCAUAUCAUAAAUAUCAUAUCAUAGAACUUUUGUCUGCGGGAUGACUUUAUUUGUAAUUUUUUAGAUGAAUAAUUUUUAUAAUCUUCUCAAUAACUGUUAAACAGCGAUCUGUCACUUGGAUGGCCUAUACAUUAAAUGCCAUUUUAUUAGUUUAUUAAAGGGAAAAUGUGUCAUUUCCGUGCUGAACUGAAUCACAAAAAAUAUGACUGUUUUCAAACAUGUCUCAUAAACAGGAUUCUGUCAUUGGUUGGACCGAGAGAUAGUCCUGCCCUGAUACUGCAUGGUUGAGCCAAAGUUGCUGAUUCGGGCAGCUCCAACAAACAGAUUAAUGUUUUGACAGUGUUCAAACUAUGAAAAGCUUACUUAUUGUUGUCUCUGCAUAUUAAACUGGGAUAGGAAAAAGUAUUUUGACAUCUUUUGUGUUCCAUGGAAGAAAGAGGGUCAUGCAAGUUUGGAAUGACAUUAGGGUGAGUAUUCAUUUUUGCAUGAACUAUUCCUUUAUGUGAAGUUUUAAUUUCAUCCGAUUAUACCAGGUUCACAUCACUUCUCGGGUGUCUCUAUCUGAGCUUUGCUGUUCUCUGUCAUGUUAACAGAAGUGAAUGCAUUACUUCAUGAGAAUGGGUUUUCACAUCAUUAAUCCCAGACUGCUGUUUCUCCCAUUAGAGAGAUGGAGAGAGAUAGCAGCUAUCAGAUGUGUCCUGCACUGAUCAUGCCUGUCUAAUGAGCAUCCUGUUUCCAUUUCAGCACUCAAGACAUGAUAAUGCCUGGGAGAGUAAGAGAGAGUAGACUGAGAACCAUAGCCUAAAUGGAAGCAGCCUUGCAGAGCCACACUUUGGACCAUCGGCAAUAAGUCUGGUCCACUUCAUAGUUUUUUCUGGGCAAGAACUGCUCACUUGAAAAGUAGGAAUGAGAAAAUCAGUCUGAAAUCAGUGAUCCCAUAAAAAAAGACUGGUUUGUAAGAAAAUGACUGCUCAUUCCAUUAAUUGACACAACAUGAUCACACGGGAAGUUGGCAUGUUGUUUCCGAGACUUCCAGCUCCCUAGUAUCGGCUACAUUGUGCCGACUCACCGACCAGCGGCAUCUCUCAUCAGACAUUUUUGCAUUCACUCCAGUGUGUUUACCUUCCCUUGUGGCAUGACCAGAACACAUUACGUCAGCAAUGUGAGAGAUCCCGGUUCGGAUCCCACAUUGAAACCAGGAAGUAAUCAUGUUCGCAUAUUUAGUGACGAGUACGAUUCAGAGGUUGCAUUUUACCUCCAACAUUACAUUUUUACUUCUCUGAUGGUUAUGUUUUGGUGUGGAGUUUAGGUUGGGGGGCACAGUUUAUAAAAUGUGCAUUCCUCCUCACUGCCUGUACAGCUGAAAACAACUCACUUCACAACUUGCUUUUGGCUCCCCUCUGUGGUCAUAACAUGCAGAAAGUCGAGCUUACUCAUCCGUAUGCCCCAUCAACACUUACUGCUUUGGCCACUGGGGCAUUGUUUUUCAUUUUGGUAAGCACAGACCAAUUUUGCUAAAGAAAAGUCAACCUAGUGUUUCAGAUUUCACUGUGAGUUAAGUCUGAUUGCCGAUCAGUCUCUUAGGGACCGUUCACACCAAAUAUGUUCUUGCGUUAAAUAAAGCUGGAUGCAGUGCAACAAUUAGAACAGAAUACAGGUGUCUUUAAGUGAGUUUUUAAAAGUGAAAUUUCUUUUUAACUUGCAACUGAGUUCAGAAUGUGUGAACUCAGCUGUAAUUUAAAAAAUGCAGUGCUCCUGUGCAAGCCUCUGAAAAAUCAGUGAGUCGCAGUGUAAUGGUCAAAGACGUCCAUCUAACACAGAAGUUUUCAAUUACCAAUGCCAUUGUAGGAAUUUGCAUUGUAAAAAGUCCACAUCGUAGCUGCUUGGUACUUUGUAAAUUCUUUGCUUCCUAAAGAUGGAUAACAACCUGUACACUGAAUGCAAACGGUUCAUAAAUGUUCCGUGAGCAACAAGCAUUUCAUCUCAGGCUGAAAAUAUAUGGGAACUUUCUAGACCCUCAUGAAGGAAGGGCCUUGAUCUUGGUGCAGAAACUCUCAGCAGACUGUGUAGAACAAUACACAGUAUAUAAUAAUAACUCAACCAGAGAGUAUUGUUGUUUUUAGUCCAAUAUCAGAGCACUUAAGGCACAGAAACCUCCCCCAUCCAUUUUGUUCUGCUUUUUCUGUAGGUAUGAGAAGAGGAUCUUCUAUAUAUAAAGAGAUCAUCUGGGAAAAUGUUUGGCUUUCACAGCAUAAGGGCAGUCAAUGGAGUGAUAAGAGCAGAGCCAGAACCGGUCUGGAAGUGAAGAAGCUAAUAGUGUGAUGUGAAGAUGUCCAGAGAACUAACAAAACCUCAGUAAUGCUGCUCAGAAUUCCCAUUUUUGGUGAACUAUUCCUUCAAGCUGAAAUACGUACUUUAUAGGAGUGGUGGUGGUGUAUUGGUCUAAGCACAUAACUGGUAAUCUGGUAAUCAGAUGGAUGCUGGUUCGAGCCCCACAGCCACCACCAUUGUGUCCUUGAGCAAGGCACUUAACUCCAGGUUGCUCCAGGGGGAUUGUCCCUGUAAUAAGGAUAAAAGCAUCUGCCAAAUGCAUAAAUGUAAAUGUAAAUUUUUGUUUAAGCCAAUUUGUUCCAACCCUGUAUAUCUGAGUGUUUAAAUUAAUUUCACAACCUGUCUUUUCAACAAUAUGGCUAGUGCCUCACUUGAAAGCUUAAAAAAGGUCCCAAAAGAAUCAUAAAACUAUUCUAGUAGUCAGGCUUAAAUGUCAUAUUCCAAGUAUUUUGAUGGCAUGCGAUAGGUUCUCACCAGAAAGAACCCAAAAAGUACGUCAUUUUUCAUAAUAUUAACGAUCAGCCACAACAUUAAAACCGCUUGCCUAAUAUUGUGUUGGUCACCCUCGUGCUAUCAAGUCAGUGCCAACCCGCAUCUCAGAAUAGCAUUCUGUGAUUAUAUUCUUCUCACCGCAAUUGUACAGAGCGAUUAUCUGAGUUACUGUAGACAUUGUCAGUUUGAACCAGUCUGGCCAUUCUCUGUAAAUUCUAGAGACUGUUGUGCGUGAAAAUCCCAGGAGAUCAGCAGUUACAGAAAUACUCAAACCAGGCACCAACAAUCAUGCCACGGUGCAAGUCACUGAGAUUAAAAAAAAAAAUUCCCAUUCUGAUGGUUGAUGUGAGCAUUAACUGAAGCUCCUGACCUGUAUCUUCAUGAUUUUAUGCACUGCACUGCUGACACACGAUUGGCUGAUUAGAUAAUCACAUGGAUGAUUGUUGGAGCCAUACGGGCUGGUUUGAGUAUUUCAGCUAGUGUGUUAAACGGUUAGUGUGGACGUGGCCUUACCUGGCCAUGAAAUGGAACAAACAUAGAUGGUAAGCAAUUCUACCACACCAGUCUUGAGUAACUAAGAGUUACAGUUGUACUUCUUGUGAAACAGUGUGAUAGUUGCAUUAAAUGUUUAUUUGUGGUGCUGCAGGAUUGCUGUUAGGCCUUCAUUCAGGAGUCGAAAUUAAUGUCUGUGGUAACCAACAGUUUGCCAACUGCAUAUUACAGCUCUUCACAUGAUUCAUUUAAUCAUGUGCCCCUUUCAGUCGGCCACAUGAAAUGUAGCUUUUGCAGACCUAACUUUUUAAGCAGCUGUGUGUGUCAAAACACUUAAGUGUUCAACCUCAUUCUUACACAUCUAAAAGCAGAGCUCAGUUUGAUUGGAUUAUAAUGAGUAUAUGCAGGAGAACCGCUGAAUUGCAGAGAAUGGAGAAGUCCUCAAAAACCAACCUCUGGCCUGAUAUCACUCAAACUUUUUUGUUAAGUGUUUUCUAAAGAUUAGGUUUGUGGUCCAAGUUUUGAAGUCAGCCCAUAUCAGUCCCUCCCCCCACACCCCCAAGCCAGCUGUUUAUCAAAGCCAGAUGUGUCGGGCAGGAAGCCGCAGGAAAUUAACCAUGACAUUGUCCACUCGCCUCUUGAAAAGUACCACAGAACUCAAUGUAAAAUCGUCCCCCACCUCUUCAUUUAUCAGACAACCUUUCUCAUAUGAGGCUGGUGCUUUAAACUUGUGGGAAUUGGGACACAUCAUAGUGGCUGUUGUUUGUAAUGUCAAUGCAUUGAUUGGUGGAGGUGCUCUGGAGGAUAGAGGUCACACUUUUUACAUUUAAUCAUGGUGACUUUAGAUGAAUGAUGCUUUUGGGAAAACUCUCCAAAUCUUAGCUUUUUCCAGAUUUUUCCUUAGAAAUGAAAAGGUGGCUUGAGGAGUGCAGGCAAAACUAAUAACUAAAUGGAUUCACACUGUCUGCGAUUUACAGUAGAGGCUACACUCCCGCAUGACCCGUCGCAACAGAGUGUGGCUCGGUAAAAGUUUGGAUUGCUAAAUGCAAGUGGGAAAACUCUAAUGUUUGUGCGGUGGAGCAGGGAAAAGAAAUGACUCAAGGGACUCCCACAAAAUAUAGCUUAAAAUAAAAGUAACUCAAAUUUAUGUAAUUUUUUAAGGUACAGAAUGUUAUUCUUCUGGUGAGCAAGAGCAACCAAAAAUAAACUAUUUUCAGGUGCAGGGUUGGUGGCUAAUUUAUACAAAUUCUUCUUCGUGCUCCAUGCAGUGGAAUGUACCACUCUUGUUUUCUGUU